GAUGAACGCUGGCGGCGUGCCUAAUACAUGCAAGUCGAGCGAACAGACGAGGAGCUUGCUCCUCUGACGUUAGCGGCGUACGGGUGAGUAACACGUGGUUAACCUACCUAUAAGACUGGGAUAACUUCGGGAAACCGGAGCUAAUACCGGAUAAUAUAUUGAACCGCCUGGUUCAAUAGUGAAAGACGGUUUUGCUUUCACUUAUAGAUGGAUCCGCGCCGCAUUAGCUAGUUGGUAAGGUAACGGCUUACCAAGGCGACGAUGCGUAGCCGACCUGAGAGGGUGAUCGGCCACACUGGAGCGGAGACACGGUCCAGACUCCUACGGGAGGCAGCAGUAGGGAAUCUUCCGCAAUGGGCGAAAGCCUGACGGAGCAACGCCGCGUGAGUGAUGAAGGUCUUCGGAUCGUAAAGCUCUGUUAUUAGGGAAGAACAAAUGUGUAAGUAACUAUGCACGUCUGGACGGUACCUAAUCAGAAAGCCACGGCUAACUACGUG
rnacentral:rRNA from 1 species